GUCUACGGCCAUACCACCCUGAACGCGCCCGAUCUCGUCUGAUCUCGGAAGCUAAGCAGGGUCGGGCCUGGUUAGUACUUGGAUGGGAGAAAUGUCUAUGAUAUAUUUAGUGAAAUAAUUAUAACAAACUGUAUAUA
rnacentral:rRNA from 1 species